rnacentral:rRNA from 1 species
CAGCAGCCGCGGGAAUACGUAGGUGGCAAGCGUUGUCCGGAAUUAUUGGGCGUAAAGGGCUCGCAGGCGGUUUCUUAAGUCUGAUGUGAAAGCCCCCGGCUCAACCGGGGAGGGUCAUUGGAAACUGGGAAACUUGAGUGCAGAAGAGGAGAGUGGAAUUCCACGUGUAGCGGUGAAAUGCGUAGAGAUGUGGAGGAACACCAGUGGCGAAGGCGACUCUCUGGUCUGUAACUGAUGCUGAGGAGCGAAAGCGUGGGGAGCGAACAGGAUUAGAUACUCGUGUAGUCCCUGUCUCUUAUAC